UACGGGGGGGGCAAGCGUUGUUCGGAAUUACUGGGCGUAAAGGGCUCGUAGGCGGCCAACUAAGUCAUACGUGAAAUCCCUCGGCUUAACCGGGGAACUGCGUCUGAUACUGGAUGGCUUGAGAUUGGGAGAGGGAUGCGGAAUUCCAAGGUGUAGCGGUGAAAUGCGUAGAUAUCUGGAGGAACACCGGUGGCGAAGGCGGCAUCCUGGACCAACACUGACGCUGAGGAGCGAAAGCCAGGGGAGCAAACGGGG
rnacentral:rRNA from 1 species